AGAGACUCUGAAGGACAGUGAAAAGAGAUUUGGUUACAGGAUACCAAUGAGUAGUCCUUGGGGAUUCUGGAAACUGUGUCAGGCCCUUUUCCACUCAAGCAGGGGAGCAAACGAAUGGAAUUAGUUACUCAAGAUUAACUACUUUUACUCUCCCUCCCUCUCCUCAAAUGUCUGAUUACCUGUACUGAGGCUAUUGCCUGUGAGAACCCAGAGUAAAAUUUAUUCAUUGCAUUUAGAGCCUGGGGACAGUUUAACGGAAAUAACAGUUUCCUCAGUUAUUUCAUAACUUAAGCAGUGUGUACAUUAGAACAAAAGCCUGAAAAUUCAAUAAAGGCAAAUAACACAUGAAAAAAAAAAAAAAAAACAGCCAACAGUAAAUAAGAGUAACUAUAGGAUUUCAGAGGGCCUUUUUCUUUAUACCUCAGUGGAAUAUAAACCAAAAAGAUUUUAGGCAGUUUAUUAAAAAUACCAGAUCCUUAACCCACUGAGCAAGGCCAGGGAUCAAACCCUCAACCUCAAGGUUCCUAGUCAGAUUUGUUUCCGCUUCGCCACAACAAGAACUCCUGGAGAUGCUAUUUACUCCAAGGGACAGUUGGAGGAUUAAAAAGGGAUGAACGGAAAGCACCUAGUAUAAUGCCUGAUAGAAUCAGUACUCAAAAGCUUGUAGCUGUAAAUGAGUGCAUGUGAUCAUGAAGUUAUCAUUUUCUUAUAGAUGAUAUAGAUAUACAUUAAACUAAUAUGGUCAAAUUGCAAUAUACUGAAAACUUAUGUUAGAGACUAGCUAUAUAGCUCUCUGAUGACCUGGCUUCCUCUGAGGAUAAAGUUGAAAAUAAUCUGGAAGAACUGAUGGAUGGCACAUGUUUUAAUCAAUUUCCAUGAGUUCUUGAUAAAGGACCGGCUGACACUGGGUUCAAAGACCUGGAGGUCUUUUAAAAAGCCCCUGUGCUCUGCCAACCAAGGGAAGAGCAGGACCCACAUGUUCUUUUCUGAAUGAAGCCUCCCAAAAUGUGGCUAGCCCCAUACCCUGCGGGGAGACACUUUCCACAGAGUCAAAGUUCUUCACAAAACUCAGCUCCAUUCCAACAUAUAGGCCCCAAAAUACUACAUCUUGGCUCCAAUUAUUUUAAUAUGGGGGAAAUUGAGGAUUUAUGUUACCUAAAGCCAGCUAAUCUGGCCAUUCAGGGGAAAAAGUUAAUGAGGUACCCAUGGGGCCACUGACGGUAAGCAAUUUCAUUCCUUGGUGGAUCUUCCAAGGUAAAUUAGUUGCACAAUGGACCUGUAGAAUAAUAUAGAAUUGGUAUCAGGUAUAUGCCAUGAUGGGACGUGACAAUUUUAGCAGAGGUCAUAUGGCAGGACCAGUUGUAUUUAGGGACCAAUCAUAGUAUAGGAUUCUUAUCUUUCUGUUUUCUAUAAAAGUAUAUUCAUCUAAAUCAUCCAAAACUGGUUUCAAGUCACUAACAUAAAUGCUAAAAGAACAUGAGGCUGGAAUUCAAAGUUUUAAGGCUUAAAAUAACCAGGUAAGUUCUAAUACCCUAUACUCUUAGAACCAUUCCAUCACAAGCAUGUAAAAAGACACGGAGCAUUACAUCUGUGGCAUGCGUGGGUUCCCAGGCUAGGGAUCGGACACAUGCCACAGCAGCCACCUGAGCCAUUGCAAUGACAACUUCAGGACCUUGACCCACUGAGCCACCAGGGAACUCCCACAAGUGUGUACUUGUCAUAGGAUGUGAUGGAAAUGGCUUUUCACCUCCAGUCUUCCUCCCAAUACCCCAAACCCAGUCUAAUCAUGAGAAGAACAUCAGAUAGAUUCUGAUACUGGAGGCUCCGACAAAAUAUGUGCCCAGUCCUCAAAACUGUCAAGGUCAUCAAAACCGUGAACUCCAAGAACUGCCAUAGCCAAGAGGAGCCUUAAAGAGACAGGACAACUGGAGUUCCCUGGUGGUCUAGUGGUUAGGGCUUGGUGUUUUCACUGCUUGGUGUUUUCACUCCCUGCUCUGGGACCUGAGAUCCCACAUCAAGCUGCUGCAUGCCUUAGCCAAAAGAGAGACAUGGUAACUAAAUGUAAUAUGGGAUUCUGCAACAGAAAGGAAGGACCAUAGGUAAAAACAAAGAAAAUGGAUAUAAUCUCUGGAUACUAGUUAUUAAAGUAUUAGCAUAAUUUUUUAAAAAGACAUGGAGCAUCAAAUGACAUGCAAAUUAUUUUCUUAGCUGUACUCCAGGGAAAUGGCCACCAGGAUGCAGCUAAUUGGUAUAGAAUUAAGGUAGUGUUAAUGGGAAAAGAAGAGAGAUGUUGUAAAGUGAAAAUCAGAAGAAUUUAGGGGUUAAAUGGAUUUGAAGUUAUGGGAAAAAGAUGGGAAAGAAACAUGAUGUUUAUACUGAGAAAUGCUCUCAACUAGAAAAAUUAUACUCAACUUAAUAAAAACGAGGAGAGCAAGAAUGACUUGUAGGGGCUGAAGAUGAACACCACAAUCAAGAAGAAACACCUAACAGGUAUUGGGAAAAGAGGCAAGUUAGAAAGACGGCACUUGCAGGGUCAGAAGGACAGAUGGUGAGGUCUAGCCCCUCUUCCCUGUUUUAUUACAAAAAAAUUCAAAUAUAAAGCCCUGAACACUCACCUGCCCACCACCUAUAUUCUACCAUUGACAUUUUACUUUGUGUUAUUAUGUUCCUAUCCCUCUAUUAUCUCCAUUCAUCAAUCCACUUUAUUUUUAAAACAUACAUCUCAAAGUACACAUUACCCUGAAUACUUAAGCAUACCUAUCAUUAACUUGAGUUCAAUAUUUGUUUAUGGGAUUUUUUUUAGGUAAAACUUAUAUACAAUGAAAUGCACAAAUCUUAAGGGUACAUUUCCUGAGUUUUGACAGAUGCAUACACCUGUGUAACACCAACCCCUAUCAACAUACAAACCCUCACAAUAAUUUCUGUCACCCAGAAAACUUCCUCACACCAUUUCCUAGUUAAUCCCUGCUCCCACCCUUCCAGAGGCAACCCUUCUUCUGAUUUUUUUCCCCCCAAACAACUUAGUUUUGCUUAUUCUAGAAUUUCAUCUGAAUGUAACCUGCAUUGGGUCACCUAAAAGAUUAUUUGAGAAAUGCAAGAGCUCUGGUUUUGAAUUUGAUUUGAACUGAUUUUCAAGUUACAAAAGUAAUGCUUGUUCCCUAGUAGGGUUAAGUGGAAACACAC
rnacentral:lncRNA from 1 species